UAAGAGGUCCCGCCUGCCCUGUGACUAUAAGUUUAACGGCCGCGGUAUUUUAACCGUGCAAAGGUAGCGCAAUCACUUGUCUUUUAAAUGGAGACCUGUAUGAAUGGCAACACGAGGGCUUAACUGUCUCCUUUUUCAAGUCAAUGAAAUUGAUCUCCCCGUGCAGAAGCGGGGAUGAGCUCAUAAGACGAGAAGACCCUAUGGAGCUUUAGACACUAAGACAGAUCAUAUUGAAACCCUCCUAAACACAAGGAUUAGACUAAAUGAACCCUGCCCUAAUGUCUUUGGUUGGGGCGACCCCGGGGAAACAUAAAACCCCCGAGUGGAAUGGGAGCACUAUCCUCCUACAACCAAGAGCUUCCGCUCUAACAAGCAGAAAAUCUGACCAAUAAAGAUCCGGCAGUGCCGAUCAGCGGACCAAGUUACCCUAGGGAUAACAGCGCAAUCCCCUUUUAGAGCCCGUAUCGACAAGGGGGUUUACGACCUCGAUGUUGGAUCAGGACAUCCUAAUGGUGCAACCGCUAUUAAGGGUUCGUUUGUUCAACG
rnacentral:rRNA from 1 species